AACGAACGCUGGCGGCAUGCCUAACACAUGCAAGUCGAACGAGACCUUCGGGUCUAGUGGCGCACGGGUGCGUAACGCGGGGGAACCUGCCCUUAGGUUCGGAAUAACUCCCCGAAAGGGGUGCUAAUACCGGAUAAUGUCUUCGGACCAAAGAUUUAUCGCCUUUGGAUGGGCCCGCGUUGGAUUAGCUAGUUGGUAGGGUAAAAGCCUACCAAGGCCACGAUCCUUAGCUGGUCGGAGAGGAUGAUCAGCCACACUGGGAAUGAGACACGGCCCAGACUCCUACGGGAGGGAGCAGUGGGGAAUAUUGGACAAGGGGCGAAAGCCUGAUCCAGCAAUGCCGGGGGAGUGAUGAAGGGCGUAGGGUUGUAAAGCUCUUUUACACGGGAUGAUAAUGACAGUACCGGGAGAAUAAGCACCGGCUAACUCCGUG
rnacentral:rRNA from 1 species